GUUAAAAUAGUUUAAUAAAAACCCUAUUUUUUCGAGAUAGAUAUGCGUCUUAAGCGCUUUUAAUA
rnacentral:tRNA from 1 species